rnacentral:rRNA from 1 species
AUCAACGCUGGCGGCGUGCGCUAACACAUGCAAGUCGCAACGAGAAAGCGGGGAGCAAUCCUCGCAAGUAAAGUGGCGUACCGGGUGAGUAACACGUGGACUGAUCUACCUCUAGUGGGGAAUAACUUCUGGGAAACCGAGGCUAAUACCGCAUAACUCGAGAGAGAGCAGAAGUCGAAAGACGCUUGAAGGAGGGAGUCCGCGGCUGAUUAGCUAGUUGGGAGGGUAAAGGCCUACCAAGGCAAAGAUCGGUAGCCGAGCCUGAGAGGGCGCACGGACACACUGGAACUGAAACACGGGCCAGACUCCUACGGGAGGCAGCAGUGGGGAAUCUUGCACAAUGGGGGAAACCCUGACUGCAGCGACGCCGCGUGGAGGAUGAAGCCCUUGGGACGUAAAGCUCCUUUCGACCCGGACGAUACUGACGGUACGGUGGAAGAAGCAGCUGCGGCUAACUACUGUGCCAGCAGCCGCGGUAAUACAGAGGGUGCGAGCGUUGUUCGGAAUUAUUGGGCGUAAGGGCUGCGUAGGCGGUGCGGUAAGUCACCUGGUGAAAUCUCCUGGCUCAACUGGGAGCGUGCAGGCGAAACUGGGCCGGUGCUGGAGUGUGGGAGAGGUGCGUGGAAUUCCUGGUGUAGCGGUGAAAUGCGUAGAUAUCAGGGAGGAACUACCUGUGGCUGUAGACGGCUCUCUGGACCGCCACUGACGCUGAGGCACGAAAGCGUAGGGUAGCAAACAGGAUUAGAUACCCUGGUAGUCCUACGCCCUAAACGAUGAUGCUUGCUGUAUGGGUACCUCAGUCCAUCUGUGCCGGAGCUAACGCGAUAAGCAUCCCGCCUGGGGAGUACAGGUCGCAAGGCUGAAACUCAAAGGAAUUGACGGGGGCCCGCACAAGCGGUGGAGCAUGUGGUUCGAUUCGACGCAACGCGAAGAACCUUACCUGGGCUCGAAUGGAGUGGUAAUCCGGUGGAAACAUCGGCGUACUCCGCAAGGGGCCAGCUCGAUGGUGCUGCAUGGCUGUCGUCAGCUCGUGUCGUGAGAUGUUGGGUUAAGUCCCGCAACGAGCGCAACCCUUAGUCGUAGUUGCCAUCCGGUCAAGGCCGGGGCACUCGAAGCGAGACCGCCAGCGGAUAAGCGGGGAGGAAGGUGGGGAUGACGUCAAGUCCUCAUGGCCUUUAUGUCCCAGGGCUACACACGUACUACAAUGGCACGGUACAAGACCGUCGCAAACCCGCGAGGGGGAGCUAAUCUCAAAAAACCGUUCUCAGUUCGGAUUGCAGUCUGCAACUCGACUGCCAUGAAGCUGGAAUCGCUAGUAAUCGCUAGAUCAGAACGCAUGCGGUGAAUACGUUCCCGGGCCUGUACACACCGCCCGUCACAUCACGAAAGCCGUUGCCUACUAGAAGCAGGUGGCAAUCAACCGCAAGGGGGCAGCCGUCCAAGGUAUAGUUCAGUGAUUGGGGUG